rnacentral:rRNA from 1 species
GAUGGAAAGCUUGCUUUCCAGGCGACGAGUGGCGGACGGGUGAGUAAUACAUAGGAAUCUGCCCAGUAGCGGGGGACAACCUGGUGAAAACCAGGCUAAUACCGCAUACGCCCCCUGGUUUAAUCACUGGGGGGGAAAGCGGGGGACCUUCGGGCCUCGCACUAUUGGAUGAGCCUAUGUCUGAUUAGCUAGUUGGUAGGGUAAAAGCCUACCAAGGCGACGAUCAGUAGCUGGUCUGAGAGGAUGAUCAGCCACACUGGGACUGAGACACGGCCCAGACUCCUACGGGAGGCAGCAGUGGGGAAUAUUGGACAAUGGGCGCAAGCCUGAUCCAGCAAUGCCGCGUGUGUGAAGAAGGCCUGAGGGUUGUAAAGCACUUUCAAUUGUGAAGAAAAGUUUAAGGCUAAUAACCUUAAACCGUGACGUUAACUUUAGAAGAAGCACCGGCUAACUCCGUGCCAGCAGCCGCGGUAAUACGGAGGGUGCGAGCGUUAAUCGGAAUUACUGGGCGUAAAGCGUGCGUAGGUGGCUUGGUAAGUCGGAUGUGAAAGCCCUGGGC